GCUCCUUGGCGCAUUAGGCAGUGCAUCAGUCUUGAAAGCUGAAGGUCCUGGGUUCUAUCCCUGGAAGGAGGG
rnacentral:tRNA from 1 species